CGCGUAGGCGGCCGCCUAAGUCAGACGUGAAAUCCCUCGGCUCAACCGGGGAACUGCGUCUGAUACUGGGUGGCUUGAAUCCGGGAGAGGGAUGCGGAGUUCCAGGUGUAGCGGUGAAAUGCGUAGAUAUCUGGAGGAACACCGGUGGCGAAGGCGGCAUCCUGGACCGGCAUUGACGCUGAGGCGCGAAAGCCAGGGGAGCAAACG
rnacentral:rRNA from 1 species